GCGCCAGACUCCUACGGGAGGCAGCAGUGAGGAAUAUUGGUCAAUGGGCGAGAGCCUGAACCAGCCAAGUCGCGUGAGGGAGUACUGCCCUAUGGGUUGUAAACCUCUUUUGUCGGGGAGCAAAAGCCGGACGUGUCCGUCUGUGAGAGUACCCGAAGAAAAAGCAUCGGCUAACUCCGUGCCAGCAGCCGCGGUAAUACGGAGGAUGCGAGCGUUAUCCGGAUUUAUUGGGUUUAAAGGGUGCGCAGGCGGAGGUGCAAGUCAGUGGUCAAAUUGCGGGGCUCAACCCCGUACUGCCGUUGAAACUGCAUCUCUUGAGUGCGCGAGAAGUAUGCGGAAUGCGUGGUGUAGCGGUGAAAUGCAUAGAUAUCACGCAGAACUCCGAUUGCGAAGGCAGCAUACCGGCGCGCAACUGACGCUCAUGCACGAAAGCGUGGGUAUCGAACAGGAUUAGAUACCCCGGUAAAA
rnacentral:rRNA from 1 species